CGAAGUAGCAAUACUUAGUGGCAGACGGGUGAGUAACAUGUAGGUAUCUGCCCUUUGGCCUGGAAUAACACGAGGAAACUUGUGCUAAUACCGGAUAAGUCUUUACAGAGAAAGCUUUAUGCACCAUUGGAUGAGCCUGCACUUGAUUAGUUUGUUGGUGGGGUAAUGGCCUACCAAGACUGUGAUCAAUAGCUGAUUUGAGAGGAUGAUCAGCCACAUUGGGCCUGAGACACGGCCCAAACUCCUACGGGAGGCAGCAGUGGGGAAUCUUGCACAAUGGAGGAAACUCUGAUGCAGCGAUGCCGCGUGUGUGAAGAAGGCCCUUGGGUUGUAAAGCUCUUUCGUCGGGGAAGAAAAUGACUGUACCCGAAUAAGAAGGUCCGGCUAACUUCGUGCCAGCAGCCGCGGUAAUACAAAGGGACCUAGCGUAGUUCGGAAUUACUGGGCUUAAAGAGUUCGUAAGUGGUUGAAAAAGUUAGUGGUGAAAUCCCAGAGCUUAACUCUGGAACUGCCAUUAAAACUUUUCAGCUAGAGUAUGAUAGAGGAAAGCAGAAUUUCUAGUGUAGAGGUGAAAUUCGUAGAUAUUAGAAAGAAUACCAAUUGCGAAGGCAGCUUUCUGGAUCAUUACUGACACUGAGGAACGAAAGCAUGGGUAGCGAAGAGGAUUAGAU
rnacentral:rRNA from 1 species